UCAGGGCCUACUGUGCAGUUCCUGGUUUACAGUCCCGAGCAAAGACAGAGCCCAAGCCCUGCGGUCUUGGGUAUCAAACAAUCCCGGGAUGGCCAAACAAGCGAAUAUUCGCCAUGGCAGUGGCAGCUGGAAGGGUGGCUCACGGAGCUGACGCCCUCCGCAGAGGGCUUCCAGGUAAUAGCGUGAACAACCACAGAAUGAAAAAGAGUGCUGUUGUUAAAGGUAUCCAGCAUCAUGGACCCAACCAUUAUCUGGAGUUUCUCACUUCAUCUCUGGAGUUUGGAUCCAGAGACACACAUAGAAUGAACGCCCUGUGAACACAAAGACAGAGACUGGGAUGAUGCUGCCACAGGCCGAGGAACGCCAAGGCAAACCCACAGAAGCCAGGAGAGAAGGACGGAACAGAGUUCUCCCUUGAUGUUUUCAGAAGGAAUCAACCCUUGCAAUACACCUUUAUUUUGGACUUGUAGCCUGCAGAAUGAUUAGAAAUUUCUUUAUUUUAUUAUUUUUGUAGAGACGGAGUUUCACCAUGUUGCCUAGGCGGGUCUUGAACCCUUGAGCUCAAUCAACCUGCUGGCUUCAGCCUCCCAAAGUGCUGGAAUUACAGGCGUGAGUCACUGUACCCUGCCAAUUUCUGUUUUUUAGGCCUCCCCAUUCCCUGUCUGCAUGGUACUUUGUCAUAGCAGCCCAAGUGAACAGUACAAUCAGUGCCUUUAUAAAUGCAUUUUUUAAAGGGCUAACCUUAAAAUGUUCUGCUUCCUUCAGUCCCCAUUCCUUUCUGAAAAUGGGCCAGCUCCCGUCUCUGAGCCCCGCCCAGGUUGCUAUCUCUCUGCUUCUUCCAAGGUGGGCUUAUCUUUACUGAGAGUCAGAGUGUUGAAACAUACAUGACCAGCCCACCCGGAGCCAGAGACUUACAGUCUGACUCUGUGAUGAAUAAUCAAUGUGCGAUAAUUCCACUUGCCAAGCAAAGCUCGGCGUCGACAGUGGCUGCUUCUGGGAGAUCGAUAAAGUACUUGAAAACACUUGUUUCAGUGGCUCUUUAAAUUCCGCAUCAUCAUUUGAUUUGCUCUGAUAAAAUUCAAGUCUUGCCUCUUUAAGUUAUUGUUUUAGCAAAUUCAAUUUACAAUUACUUUCAAUAUGAAAAGCUUAAGAGAUUCAGUUUAAUGCCUUAUUAGCUGUAAAAUCAACUGCCGUUUCGACCACCACGCGGUGUGAGGAGCAGUAAAAAGACUUUGGUUCUUGGCCAAGCUUUCCCUCUGAGCUUCUUACCAGCGAUAGCUUCUUCCGUUGUGGAGCUAUCCUCAAAAUACCUGCCUUCCAAACUCCUAGUCAUUGGACCCAAAUUCAAAUUACAUUUCCCUCCCAUGUCAGGGAUUUCUGGGGUAAAAAUAAGCUACUUUAAAAACAGAUUGCUCUCAUCAGUGAAUUUUUGUUUAUCAAAUGUGAUCCAUGCAACAGGCACCUUUGACAACUUGCCAUGGUGCAGAUUUUAUUUUUAAAUUGUGGGACUAAAUGCCCAUUACAGAAAGUUAGCCUGAUUAGAGUGGGGUUUUGGGGAGCGAGAAUUUAUUACUGUAUUGUUUGAAUCAUUUAUAAUAAUGUACUUUUGUGUCUCUGGAUAACUACAAAUUAGUAGUGAAGAAAAACUUCACUGUGGGAAACGUAAAAGACCUUCUUACUGUGAUGUGCAAAGAUCUGUAAGAGCUCUCCAGCACCUGCUGCUUGGACCUCCUCUUCAGUCACUCACUGUAGUUCAUUGCCCUGCGCGCGUCCUUGCUUCCCCUAUGUGUAGAAGCCUAAUGACACAUCAUGGCCUUUGUAUCUACAGAUAGAAUGCUGCUCCCUCACAUUUUUGCCUGGCUGUCAUCUCUUCUUCUGAUUAAAUGUCAUGAAACUAGUAAAGCCUUCUUUAGUCAUCUUCUCCUCCCUGUCCACCUCAGUCACACCCUGUUCCUUCAUCUUGUUUUGUUUUUAUUACAGGAUUCACUUCUUUGUGUGUGAAAUUAUUAUUUAUUUUUCUGUUUUCUAAUUGUCAAUCUUGCCCCUCUCUGCCCUCAGAUGUGAGAAGGUAAACCUUGUGGGAGAAGGGACCUUGGUCAAUGUUCACCUCUGUUUUUCCAGUGCCAAUUGAUGGGCACAAUCUUGGCAUUGAAUGAAUAGUUGUGGGUGAAUAAAUGACAGAAACAGUGCUUUACUUAGUUCUGUGUAACAGACUACCUGCAAACUAAGUAGCUAAAAACAAAAACUAUUUCUACUUUGCCUGGAUUUCCUGGGUGGCAAACAGUUCUACUAUCUGGCCUGGGUGGACUCUGUUGGGACGAUUAGGAUGCCUGGCUUCUCUACCUACAUAUUUUUCCAUGCUAGGCUUCUUCAGGCAUGCUGGUUUACGAACAUGAGAGCUGACCAGGUGCAGUGGCUCAUGCCUGUAAUCCCAGCACUUUGGGAGGCUGUGGUGGGUGGAUCACCUGAGGUCGGGAGUUUGAGACCAGCCUGACCAACAUGGUGAAACUCCAUCUCUACUAUAAAUACAAAAUUAUCCAGGCAUGGUGGCUCAUGGCUGUAAUGCCAGCAACUCAGGAGGCUGAGGCAGGAGAAUCAUUUGAACCGGGGAGGCAGAGGUUGGGAGGUUGAGGUGAGCCAAGAUUGCAGAACUGCACUCCAGCGUGGGAAACAAGAGUGAAAUGCCGUCUCAAAAAAAAAAAAAAAAAAAAAAAAGAACAUGAGAGCAGCAGAAGUUGCCAGCAUCUAGCAUCUUAAGAAGGCCUAGGCUUUGGGACAUACACAAAGUCAUUCUUCCCAGAUUCUGUUGAUCAAAGGAAGCCAUAAGGCCAGACCAAAUUCAAGCACAUAGAGCAAUAAUAUUUGGCCUCUUGAGAGUGGUGGCAAUGGAGCAUGGGGCCAAGGAUGGGAUUCAUUAGGGGUUAUUAUUAUUAUAUAGUGAUCUGCCCCAAGCCCCAAGUGAUAUAUAUUUUUACAAAAGCUCACUCUGACCUAAUGAGUGUCAGGUUUUAGAACAUAAGAUUCAUAUCUUAUAUAUUCAUAUCCCAGACAUUUGCAUUUGUGCUGCCUGUCAUAGAACCCUGCACACUAUAAACAAUAAAUGCCUCCUUGGUUUUAGUGUUGAUACUGUACUUAUAUUGCUGUAUAAAUUUUUAUGUUUACACACACAUCAGUGAAUGUGCAGGGAUUCUCCAAAGACCUUAGUACCUCAUUUCAAGAAAAUGGGAGUGAAUUCUGGAAUAAAUUAUAUUGAUUUUAAUUCAGACAUUUAAAUUUGUUUUGUCUAUUGCUUUUGCAGUUGAAGAAUUGAUCUCAAGGCAGACAGAGAAAAAAUAAAUUGGUUUUAUUGAAUUCACAGUGACCUGAUAAAAAAAAUAGUUGUUAUAAGAGAAAUGGUCUUACUUCCUAUUUUGUUACAGAUUUUUUCCCUUCAAAAAUUUAUUGGUUUAAUAUUGUAAGUGAAGACCAUGAAUUUUAUUUAGCAUUGUGCAGGAUGAUUUGGGGGCAGUUAGAAAGCACAUAUCUUGGAAUAUUUCUUACUCAGAUGAUUGUAAAGCUUAUUUUGAUCAAGAAGCCACCUGAACAAACAACAGUCCAAAGGUCUGUAAGACAAUUCACACUGGUACAGAUUUAGGUCAUGACUUCCUGAAAAAAAGAUGAAAUGUUAGUUACUAUUCAAAUUACUUUCUUAAAACAAAAUGAAGCAUUCGAGUUUGACUUAGAAAAUUACUAGACUACAGAAGGGAAUAGAGUAGAAAGCAAAAAUCACCUGAUGUCUUUAAACUUCAUCUUGAGUGUUUACAAUUCAGAAAUAACAUUCAGUGUUCAGUUAAAAUGUGAAUUUCUCCGUUUGUACACAGGAGAGGAAUAGAUUUGGGUAUACUUUUUGAUAACCUUUUCACUAUCCAAACGGCUGCUACUUACUAUCUGAAAUUAGGAACCAAAGAGAUUUGGGAUAACAUAGCCUCCCUUGUUAUCUGAGGUUACUGUGCAAACUCCCAAUAACUGAGAAUGGAGUUGGACAGCAAGAGGUACCUGGCUAUAGGUUAUCUGUGCUCUUAAAUGACAUUGGUAACCCUCUGAUCCCAUUGUCUAUAGUGUUUGUAAGUUACUCUCCUCACUUAAAAAUAUAUUGUGAAAGGAAGAUUGCAGCUGGAGAGCAUAGUUUGUCAGUCUCUCUAAAUUCCCGCAUAAAACCAGAGCAACUAGACAGCAAAACCCUCACACAAUGUUGAGUACAAGACCACGUCACAAGGUCUCUUUACAAACUCCAUAUCCUCUCCAUGGGGUGAAAUGUGUGUAAACAAGUAAUAAACGUGGUGUGAUAAUGUUCUGUUCUGCCUUCCACUGAGAUAAGAUCAGAGUAUAGGGAGUUCCUUAAAGACUUCUUGGAGCUUUGAAGAGUAUUUACAAAGAAAAAUGACAUAGUAGCCACUUAGGAGGCAACUUUCACACAUUCAGUAUUGCCCACAUGCUUCGUAUGUUUAGUUUACUCAUUCAAACAUCUUUUCACUUGUCAAACUUUGUUUGCAUGGUCAGUAUAAUACUAGUUGUGCAUACCUGGUGUGAAGGUUUAAGAUUUGCUUUUACUUUUGUAAGAUCAAUUAUGGAUCUUUUAGGAUUAUGGGUGAUCUUACAGAUACAUCAACGUGGAUAUAAAGGCUACUGAAUCUAAUCUUUAGUUAAAGUUGGUUUUGUUCUUUGUCUACUCAAAUCUGACUUUACUUUUAAACAAUGUUUUUCAACCAAGGGCACCAUACACACAAAUAAUUGCAAUUAUUCCAUGUUUAGGUGAAAAGGUAGGCUAGACAAUGGUUAAGCCCAUUAGUCUUAUCUUUGGCCCUUGUUAUACUUUAUCUUAUGUGAGCUAGAGUUUAAGAGACAGCUUGUAUUAUUUCUUUAUAAUACAAGUAAUUCAUGUUAAUUUCAGAAAAAAAUAUAGAAUACAUACUAAGAAUGAGCUAAAAGAUUACCCAGGUUUCCAAAUUGUUGUUGUUAUCAUUGUUUUUUUAGGAAUUGUUCUCAUUCGCUUCCCUGAAGUGCAGUGGCAUCCUCUUAGCUUCCUGAAACCUUGAGCUCCUGGGCUUAAGUGAUCCCCUCGCCUCAACCUCCCGAAGUGUUGGGCUUGCACACCUGGCCUCAUUUUCCACUUUUUGAUAAUGAUUACUAUUAAUGUUUUAGUAUUUAUGUUCUUCCAGAGUUUUUAAUGGAAAUAUAUAGUUUUACCAAAAUGAGAUAAUAAUUUAUAUUUGGUUUUUUUACUUGACUUUUUCUUUUUAAAGUUUCAAUAAAUAAUGCUAUGCAGCUUUUUUUAAAAAAUGGUUUCACAGUAUUUUAUUGUAUGGAUACGCCAUAAUAAAUUAACUGAUUACUUAUUGUUAAAUGUUUUGAUUGUUUCCAAAAUAUUAAAGUUUUUUCCUUUCAAGGUUGCAGUGAGCCAAGAUCACACCAUUGCUUUCCAGCCUGAGCAACAAGAGCAAGACUCCGCCUCACCAAAAAAAAAAAAAAAAAAGUUGUAAUAAAAAGCUGCACAUUUAUUUUGGCGAAUUCAUCCAAUUGCUUAGCUAAGAGUAACUAACAGACAUGAAAUUUAUGGGAAAAAUAUGCAUUUUAAUGUUUUCAAUCAGAUUACCGAAGGCCCUUCAAACUGUACCAUUUUAUCUCUUGUUAUGGUGCCCUUUUAUUCACACCUUUACAAGUAAUUUUUUUUAAUUGUUAUUUUAAUGUUCAUUUGCUUAACUGUUAUUAAAGUUGAACAUUUUUGUUUAUAUUUAUUGUAUACUAGUAAACUAAAGGAGAAGUUCAUAGUAAAUGAAAUGAAAAGAGUUUAAUUAAAUUAGGCCAAGGAGAGCUUAUUGACUGGUCCCUCUCCCAGUGAUUUAGUAUAUAAAUAGAAGGCUUUUAAAAUAAACUUCGGUUUACUUAUGUUGAAAUAAUAUGCUGCUUUGGAAAAAGAAUUCAGUAGCCCCUAUGUACUGAAAAACAAAAAAAUGUUUGAGGCACAUUGUCAAGUGUCUCAAUACUUAACAUAAAAAAGUCACAAGGUACAACUUAAAAAGUGUUUUUAAAAUGAAAUUUGUUUACGUAUUUGAAAAGUUAAUUUUAUUAUAUACUUUAUGUACUUAUUGAAGUGAAAAAUGUGCAAAAGGUUAUCUGUGAUGAUUCCCUCUCACCUCUACCCUAGUCAUUUCCUUCUCUUCCCUGCAGGGUAUCAGAUUUUGAGGUUUUAAAAAAAAUAAUUUUGGUGUUAUUUCAUGCAUUUUUAAUAAAAAUUGAUUCAUACAAUA